AUGCCCUGCAAGAAACGAAGGUCCGACUGUUGGUCCUCCAAGGGGCGCUGUGUCUUUAAAUGCGGCCGGUUGGGCAGGCUGGGGGGGACUCGGGGGCCUAAAAGGGGGUUUGGUCCUCCAAGGGCGCUGUCUCUUUAAAUCGGAAGGGUUGGAAGACACGGGGACCGAGGUCCGACUGUUGGUCCUCCAAGGGUGCUGUCUCUUUAAAUCCAGCAGCGUUGACAGCCUUAGGAGGACUAAGGUCCGACUGUUGGUCCUCCAAGGGGCGUUGGCGCUUUAAAUGCGGUGUGUUUAACAGACUCGGGGGGUCUCGGGGGCCUAAAAGGGGGUUUGGUCCUCCAAGGGUGCUGUCUCUUUAAGUCUAAAGGGGUAGAACACGCAAGGACCAAGGUCCGACUGUUGGUCCUCCAAGGGGCGCUGUCUCUUUAAAUCCAGCAGCAUUGACAGCCUUAGGAGGACUAAGGUCCGACUGUUGGUCCUCCAAGGGGCGCUGUGUCUUUAAAUGCGGCCGGUUGGGCAGGCUGGGGGGGACUCGGGGGCCUAAAAGGGGGUUUGGUCCUCCAAGGGCGCUGUCUCUUUAAAUCGGAAGGGUUGGAAGACACGGGGACCGAGGUCCGACUGUUGGUCCUCCAAGGGUGCUGUCUCUUUAAAUCCAGCAGCGUUGACAGCCUUAGGAGGACUAAGGUCCGACUGUUGGUCCUCCAAGGGGCGUUGGCGCUUUAAAUGCGGUGUGUUUAACAGACUCGGGGGGUCUCGGGGGCCUAAAAGGGGGUUUGGUCCUCCAAGGGUGCUGUCUCUUUAAGUCUAAAGGGGUAGAACACGCAAGGACCAAGGUCCGACUGUUGGUCCUCCAAGGGGCGCUGUCUCUUUAAAUCCAGCAGCAUUGACAGCCUUAGGAGGACUAAGGUCCGACUGUUGGUCCUCCAAGGGGCGCUGUGUCUUUAAAUGCGGCCGGUUGGGCAGGCUGGGGGGGACUCGGGGGCCUAAAAGGGGGUUUGGUCCUCCAAGGGCGCUGUCUCUUUAAAUCUAGAGGGGUAGAACACGCGAGAAGCAAGGUCUGACUGUUGGUCCUCCAAGGGCGCUGUCUCUUUAAAUCCAGCAGCGUUGACAGCCUUAGGAGGACUAAGGUCCGACUGUUGGUCCUCCAAGGGGCGCUGGCGCUUUAAAUGCGGCCGGUUGGGAAGACUCGGGGGGUCUCGGGGGCCUAAAAGGGGGUUUGGUCCUCCAAGGGUGCUGUCUCUUUAAGUCUAAAGGGGUAGAACACGCAAGGACCAAGGUCCGACUGUUGGUCCUCCAAGGGGCGCUGUGUCUUUAAAUGCGGCCGGUUGGGCAGGCUGGGGGGGACUCGGAGGCCUAAAAGGGGGUUUGGUCCUCCAAGGGCGCUGUCUCUUUAAAUCUAGAGGGGUAGAACACGCGAGGAGCAAGGUCCGACUGUUGGUCCUCCAAGGGCGCUGUCUCUUUAAAUCCAAAGGGUUUCACAGCCUCAGGAGGACCAAGGUCGGACUGUUGGUCCUCCAAGGGGCGCUGUGUCUUUAAAUGCGGCCGGUUGGGCAGGCUGGGGGGGUCUCGGGGGCCUAAAAGGGGGUUUGGUCCUCCAAGGGCGCUGUCUCUUUAAAUCUAGAGGGGUAGAAGACACGGGGACCGAGGGCCGACUGUUGGUCCUCCAAGGGGCGCUGGCACUUUAAAUGCGGCCGGUUGGGCAGGCUGGGGGGGACUCGGGGGCCUAAAAGGGGGUUUGGUCCUCCAAGGGCGCUGUCUCUUUAAAUCUAGAGGGGUAGAAGACACGGGGACCGAGGUCCGACUGUUGGUCCUCCAAGGGGCGCUGUCUCUUUAAAUCCAGCAGCGUUGACAGCCUUAGGAGGACUAAGGUCUGACUGUUGGUCCUCCAAGGGGCGCCGUGUCUUUAAAUCCAAAGGGUUUGACAGGCUCAGGAGGACCAAGGUCGGACUGUUGGUCCUCCAAGGGCGCUGUCUCUUUAAAUCCCCCCUAUUUAACCCCCAGUGGAGGACCAACGUCCGCCUGUUGGUCCUCCAAGGUCUGUAGUGGCUGUAGUUGGUCCUCCAAGAGCGCUCUCCCUUUAAAUCCCCCCUAUUUAACCCCCAGUGGAGGACCAAAGUCCGCCUGUAGGUCCUCCAAGAGCCCUCUCCCUUUAAAUCCUCCAUGUUUACCACCCCGUGGAGGACCAAAGUCCGCCUGUAAGUCCUCCAAGAGCACUUUCCCUUUAAAUCCUCCAUGUUUAACCCCCAGUGGAGGACCAAAGUCCGCCUGUAGGUCCUCCAAGAGCACUUUCCCUUUAAAUCCUCCAUGUUUACCACCCCGUGGAGGACCAAAGUCCGCCUGUUGGUCCUCCAAGAGCGCUCUCCCUUUAAAUCCUCCAUGUUUAACCCCCAGUGGAGGACCAAAGUCCGCCUGUAGGUCCUCCAAGAGCACUUUCCCUUUAAAUCCCCCCUAUUUAACCCCCAGUGGAGGACCAAAGUCCGCCUGUAGGUCCUCCAAGGGCCCUCUCCCUUUAAAUCCUCCAUGUUUACCACCCCGUGGAGGACCAAAGUCCGCCUGUAAGUCCUCCAAGGGCCCUCUCCCUUUAAAUCCCCCCUAUUUAACCCCCAGUGGAGGACCAAAGUCCGCCUGUAAGUCCUCCAAGGGCACUUUCCCUUUAAAUCCUCCGGCUUUUACAGCAUAACAAGGUCCAAGGUCCACAGCAGCGGCGCUAACGAGCUAAUUAAGGGCCUAGUUGGUCCUCCAGACUUAUUGGUCCUCCAACCGCCAUUGGUCCUCCAACCGCCAUUGGUCCUCCAGCCUAAUUGGUCCUCCAGCCUAAUUGGUCCUCCAGCCAUUGGUCCUCCAGCCGCCAUUGGUCCUCCAGCCGCCAUUAGUCCUCCAGCCAUGAGUCCUCCAGCCUAAUUGGUCCUCCAGCCUAAUUGGUCCUCCAACCGCCAUUGGUCCUCCAGCCAUGAGUCCUCCAGCCUAAUUGGUCCUCCAGCCACCAGUAGUCCUCCAGCCUAAUUGGUCCUCCAGCCUAAUUGGUCCUCCAGCCAUUGGUCCUCCAGCCGCCAUUGGUCCUCCAACCACCAUUGGUACUCCAGCCUAAUUGGUCCUCCAGCCAUUGGUCCUCCAGCCGCCAUUGGUCCUCCAGCCAUGAGUCCUCCAGCCUAAUUGGUCCUCCAGCCACCAUUAGUCCUCCAGCCGCCAUUGGUCCUCCAGCCAUGAGUCCUCCAGCCAUUGGUCCUCCAGCCUAAUUGGUCCUCCAGCCGCCAUUAGUCCUCCAGCCAUGAGUCCUCCAGCCACCAUGAGUCCUCCAGCCUAAUUGGUCCUCCAGCCAUUGGUCCUCCAGCCAUGAGUCCUCCAGCCUAAUUAGUCCUCCACCCUAAUUGGUCCUCCAGCUUAAUUGGUCCUCCAGCCGCCAUUAGUCCUCCAGCCAUGAGUCCUCCAGCCGCCAUUAGUCCUCCAGCCAUGAGUCCUCCAGCCAUUGGUCCUCCAGCCGCCAUUGGUCCUCCAGCCUAAUUGGUCCUCCAGCCAUUGGUCCUCCAGCCGCCAUUGGUCCUCCAGCCAUGAGUCCUCCAGCCUAAUUGGUCCUCCAACCAUUGGUCCUCCAGCCGCCAUUGGUCCUCCAGCCAUGAGUCCUCCAGCCGCCAUGAGUCCUCCAGCCACCAUUAGUCCUCCAGCCAUGAGUCCUCCAGCCGCCAUGAGUCCUCCAGCCGCCAUUAAUCCCAUCCAACCAAUGAGACGCCAACGCAAGAGCCGAUAGCAAUCAUUUAUUCAUACGUAGGUAUGCUAAUUAGCCAAAGCUCGUUAACGGAAGGGCAUAACGAAGGAGGAGGGACCCUCUGGCCGCCACUGGUCCUCCAGCCACGAGUCCUCCAGCCGCCAUGAGUCCUCCAGCCGCCAUUAAUCCCAUCCAACCAAUGAGACGCUAACGCCAGAGCAGAUAGUAACUACUUAAUGCUUUAAUGAGGUUCUAAUUAGCCACAGCUCGUUAACGAAGGGACAUAAUGAAGGAGGAGGGACCCUCUGGCCGCCAUGAGUCCUCCACCCACGAGUCCUCCAGCCGCCAUGAGUCCUCCAGCCGCCAUUAAUCCCAUCCAACCAAUGAGACGCCAACGCAAGAGCAGAUAGGAAUCAUUUAAUGACUUAAUUAGGUUCUAAUUAGCCAAAGCUCGUUAACGGAAGGGCAUAACGAAGGAGGAGGGACCCUCUGGCCGCCAUUGGUCCUCCAGCCACGAGUCCUCCAGCCGCCAUGAGUCCUCCAGCCGCCAUUAAUCCCAUCCAACCAAUGAGACGCCAACGCAAGAGCAGAUAAUAACUACUUAAUGCUUUAAUGAGGUUCUAAUUAGCCACAGUUCGUUAACGAAGGGACAUAACGAAGGGGGAGGGACCCUCUGGCCGCCAUUGGUCCUCCAGCCAGGAGUCCUCCAGCCGCCAUGAGUCCUCCAGCCGCCAUUAAUCCGCAAGCAGCCAAUGAGACACCAACGCCAGAGCAGAUAGGAAUCAUUUAAUGACUUAAUUAGGUUCUAAUUAGCCACAGCUCGUUAACAAAGGGACAUAACAAAGGGGGAGGGACCCUCUGGCCGCCAUUGGUCCUCCAGCCAGGAGUCCUCCAGCCGCCAUGAGUCCUCCAGCCGCCAUUAAUCCGCAAGCAGCCAAUGAGACACCAACGCCAGAGCAGAUAAUAACUACUUAAUGCUUUAAUUAGAUUCUAAUUAGCCACAGCUCGUUAACGAAGGGACAUAACGAAGGGGGAGGGACCCUCCGGCCGCCAUGGGUCCUCCAGCCACGAGUCCUCCAGCCGCCAUGAGUCCUCCAGCCGCCAUUAAUCCCAUCCAACCAAUGAGACGCCAACGCAAGAGCCGAUAGCAAUCAUUUAUUCAUACGUAGGUAUGCUAAUUAGCCAAAGCUCGUUAACGAAGGGACAUAAUGAAGGAGGAGGGACCCUCUGGCCGCCAUGAGUCCUCCAGCCACGAGUCCUCCAGCCGCCAUGAGUCCUCCAGCCGCCAUUAACCCGCAAGCAGCAAGCCCCGGAGGCCCGCAACGGCUCCGCUCAUUAACCGGCGGCCCAGCGGCGCCGCUAAUGAGCCUCGGCUCGUUAAGGGAGGACGUAACGAACCAAUCGGGCCCCCCUGACCUCCCGAAGCCGUCGGCAAUGGCGGAGGACGCCAACGAUGCGAUGGAAGGUUCGGUCCACCUUCAGCUGGGUGAACUCCUUCAGGUCGGCCUCCACCACGAAGGUGAGCCCUGGGGGGGGAAGGAAGGAAGAAAGGGGGGGGAAGCGGAAGAGGAAGUGCGCCCGGGCGACUUCCGCUUCCGGCCGGAAGGCCUACCUUGGGUCUCUUUGGUUUCCUCUUCCCGGAAGCGGUGGCAAAGGGCGCGGGAAGAGGCGGGGAGGGAUUUGGGGGGGUGGCGGA